rnacentral:RNase_P_RNA from 1 species
AGGGUUAUCUAGGCAAUCGCUGGUUAUGUAAAUAACGAGAGGAAAGUCCGGACUCCUAGCGAAAAGAUGCCUUGCGAGAACUUUUAAAUUCAAGCAAGGGGGAUCGUAUCCACGGACAGUGCCACAGAAAAUAACCGCCUUAUAUGUAAUAAUACAAGGUAAGGGUGAAAAAGUGCGGUAAGAGCGCACGGACAGUAUGAGUGAUCAUGCUGUGGGGUAAACCCCAUCUGGAGCAAGACAAAGCAUUAAACGGGCCCUUCGCUGCCAAUGGUUUAAGGGUAUGUCGCAUAGAUAAAUGGUUGCCACUUAACGUAUAGUUAAGCACAGAAUCCGGCUUAUUGAUGGUCCUACUC